GACGAACCGAGCAAACGUUAUUCGGAAUCACUGGGCUUAAAGGGCGCGUAGGCGGGCAUCCAAGUCUGUGGUGAAAUCCGGCAGCUUAACUGUCGAACUGCCGCGGAUACUGGGUGUCUCGAGGGAGGUAGGGGCGUGCGGAACUAUUGGUGGAGCGGUGAAAUGCGUUGAUAUCAAUAGGAACUCCGGUGGCGAAGGCGGCACGCUGGACCUCUUCUGACGCUGAGGCGCGAAGGCCAGGGGAGCAAACGGG
rnacentral:rRNA from 1 species